ACAGCUUUAGUUGUCUACAUGUUCUGCCUGCAAAACAGAGUGAAUCUGGUCCCUGAAUGACCCAUUCAGUGCUGAAAGAUGACCUUGCCGCAGUCUCAGAGCAGGGACCGAUGCCAUAUUAUUAUCCUAUUCGACGCUCUUAUGAGGAAACUCGCCCCGGACCGGCCGCAAAUGGCUUGCAGACUGGCACCAGUCCACUGACCACCACUUUGAGAAGCACUGCCCUAAUGCAUCUACCUUGCUAUUAGCCUUUUAGGAUAUCUGAAAAAUCCUCCGAGGGUUUGUGCUCUGCUCCCUUUAGAUCUGCUUCAGACUUCACUCUCAAGGCUUGGAAAGUCCCUGUCAGUGAAGAAGAGUUGGUAUGGCGGAAGAUUGGAAUAUUUGGCGUAAUACACAUCUGUCAGUCUAUCAUCACUUGAAGAAAGACUAUCAUUUAGGAG